AUUGAACGCUGGCGGAAUGCUUUACACAUGCAAGUCGAACGGCAGCACGGGGGCAACCCUGGUGGCGAGUGGCGAACGGGUGAGUAAUACAUCGGAACGUGCCCAGUCGUGGGGGAUAACGUAGCGAAAGUUACGCUAAUACCGCAUACGAUCUACGGAUGAAAGCGGGGGACCGUAAGGCCUCGCGCGAUUGGAGCGGCCGAUAUCAGAUUAGGUAGCUGGUGGGGUAAAGGCCCACCAAGCCAACGAUCUGUAGCUGGUCUGAGAGGACGACCAGCCACACUGGAACUGAGACACGGUCCAGACUCCUACGGGAGGCAGCAGUGGGGAAUUUUGGACAAUGGGCGAAAGCCUGAUCCAGCCAUUCCGCGUGCAGGAUGAAGGCCCUCGGGUUGUAAACUGCUUUUGUACAGAACGAAAAGGUUUCUACUAAUACUAGGAGCUCAUGACGGUACUGUAAGAAUAAGCACCGGCUAACUACGUGCCAGCCGCCGCCGUAA
rnacentral:rRNA from 1 species